ACGAACGCUGGCGGCGUGCUUAACACAUGCAAGUCGAGCGGUAAGGCCUCUUCGGGGGUACACGAGCGGCGAACGGGUGAGUAACACGUGGGUGACCUGCCCUCAGCUCUGGGAUAAGCCUGGGAAACUGGGUCUAAUACCGGAUAUGACCUUUCCUCGCAUGGGGUUUGGUGGAAAGUUUUUUCGGCUGGGGAUGGGCCCGCGGCCUAUCAGCUUGUUGGUGGGGUGAUGGCCUACCAAGGCGACGACGGGUAGCCGGCCUGAGAGGGCGACCGGCCACACUGGGACUGAGACACGGCCCAGACUCCUACGGGAGGCAGCAGUGGGGAAUAUUGCGCAAUGGGCGGAAGCCUGACGCAGCGACGCCGCGUGGGGGAUGACGGCCUUCGGGUUGUAAACCUCUUUCGACCCCGACGAAUUUGGACGGUAGGGGUAGAAGAAGCACCGGCAACUACGUG
rnacentral:rRNA from 1 species